rnacentral:lncRNA from 1 species
AUUGAAGCAGAGUUCACUCGCUUAACAUCUAAGGACCUCAUGAAGUCUUUUCUCUCAGGGUUGGAUCAGUAUGUAACCAGGUUCCUUCAGAUGUUUAGAGCCAAGUUGAGCAGCAUUUUCAGAACUGAAAAGUCUUCUAUGCAAGAUUGACCGUGAUACCCAAAAUGUGUCCAAAUAUCAGCUUUUAAGGCUGUGCACAGGCUCCUACUCUUCUUCUGCCUAUAAUUCCAUGUCAAUGAAAAGGGCCGUUGUUCUUCAAGGCCUUCCACAUUACCUCGGCGAGGAUCCAUCAGAUUUCUUCAAGUCAGCUGAGGAAACUGACAUUGAAGACGGUGUGAUGGUGGGAAUGGAUGUGGGCAUUCUCAUAAUGCCUGAUGGAGAUGAUGCCUUUGACUACUACGUGGUAGUGGAGGAACAAGUUGUCCUGAGUGAUGCCAAAGACCUCCCUCAUGCUGUGGCUCAACUAGUCGUACUGAUUUUUGCGCUUAACAUUGAUUAUCCCAAAAAACUACGCUACACAUUUGAGGUAAUUCAGAAGAUUUUAAUUGACCUUGGAGGUGAUCACUGUUCCUUGACGGUGCAUGGACUGAAAAAUAGACUCUUUCGCAAAACUGUUUAG